rnacentral:lncRNA from 1 species
UAGUGCCUCAUGGCUUGAUAUAUACUUCGUGGCUAAUAUCCUUUACAUUCUCCUUUUGCAUGCUUCAAGUUUGUCGAUUGAAAGAAAAAAAAUACUUAUAUCUUUCAAAGAUAUUUAGUAAUUUCUGGUGCCAGGCCGUGGUGAACUAUGAAUGUUUAAGCAGUACUACUACUCGUAGUAAUCCAUUUUGUGAGCCUCCAUUCAUGGAAGGAGACGGGGGCUAUGACAAUUAUGCCCCGCCGGUUGCAUCCAUAGAAGGUGAUGGAGACGACAAAGACGACGACGAUGAUGAUGGUGAUUAUGCUCCAGCUGCUUAAUUGAACCGCAUGAUGAUUAUUGUCUCGUCAAACCCUAGUUCCAAAACCUAAAACCCUAAAAGUUUUAAAUAUAUACUCCGCAAUUAGCAGAUCGAUAUAUAGUUAGUUAGGCAGUGAAUCCUUCUAUCCUUGAUAUAUAGCAAAAGCGAUCCCAAACAGAUCAUAUGUUUUCCCAAUUUUAAAGUAUUUUUUACACAUACAUAGCAGGUUUAUAUUUAGGUGGGAAAAAAUGGUUGUAAAAAAUGGUAGUGUAAUAUAUUGCUGAUUAUGUGUGUGUAUAUAUAUAUGAGGUUUGUGUAUAUUGAUUAAUAUACUUAUUUCUAGUUGGUAUGUUAAUUAUAUCUUCAUAUGAUUAAGUAACAUGAUAUUAUCAUUUGUUUGUAACUCGUAUGUUACGUUUCACCAAAUUAAUUAAGUGAAAAAGUUUAGCUACUUUCAUAUUAGAAUAUUUAAUCAUUAAUUUUUAAGCUUAAUUAAUACUCUUAUUAUAGUAGUAUAAGUACUUAGCAUAGCAAGACAUGGAAAAGCUAUAACGUAUUACUGCCGUGAAAAGGGAUGAAUUUGCAUUUGCAUGUACGUUUUCCAUGGUCGUCGUCACCUACCUUUGUAAUCAAUACCUAUAUUUAAAUUGAUGGAUCGAACAAACAUCAGUUAACUCAAUAAUAAUUAAUGUUA